UGAGCAACCUGCCCUUGACUCCGGAAUAACAGCUGGAAACAGCUGCUAAUACCGGAUAUGACCUCCGAUGGCAUCAUCUGGAGGUGGAAAGCUCCGGCGGUCAAGGAUGGGCUCGCGGCCUAUCAGCUUGUUGGUGAGGUAACGGCUCACCAAGGCUUCGACGGGUAGCCGGCCUGAGAGGGCGACCGGCCACACUGGGACUGAGACACGGCCCAGACUCCUAGGAGACG
rnacentral:rRNA from 1 species